rnacentral:rRNA from 1 species
AGGGAAUUUUCCACAAUGGACGAAAGUCUGAUGGAGCAACGCCGCGUGAACGAUGAAGGUCUUCGGAUUGUAAAGUUCUGUUGUUAGGGACGAAACCGUACCGUUCGAACAGGGCGGUACCUUGACGGUACCUAAUUAGAAAGCCACGGCUAACUACGUGCCAGCAGCCGCGGUAAUACGUAGGUGGCAAGCGUUGUCCGGAAUUAUUGGGCGUAAAGCGCGCGCAGGCGGCUAUGUAAGUCGGAUGGUAAAGCCCGAGGCUCAACCUCGGUUCGCAUUGGAAACUGUGUAGCUUGAGUGCAGAAGAGGAAAGCGGUAUUCCACGUGUAGCGGUGAAAUGCGUAGAGAUGUGGAGGAACACCAGUGGCGAAGGCGGCUUUCUGGUCUGUAACUGACGCUGAGACGCGAAAGCGUGGGGAGCAAAC